GACGAACGCUGGCGGCGUGCUUAACACAUGCAAGUCGAACGGAAAGGCCCUGCUUUUGUGGGGUGCUCGAGUGGCGAACGGGUGAGUAACACGUGAGUAACCUGCCCUUGACGUUGGGAUAACUUCAGGAAACUGGGGCUAAUACCGGAUAGGAGCUCCUGCUGCAUGGUGGGGGUUGGAAAGUUUCGGCGGUUGGGGAUGGACUCGCGGCUUAUCAGCUUGUUGGUGGGGUAGUGGCUUACCAAGGCUUUGACGGGUAGCCGGCCUGAGAGGGUGACCGGCCACAUUGGGACUGAGAUACGGCCCAGACUCCUACGGGAGGCAGCAGUGGGGAAUAUUGCACAAUGGGCGGAAGCCUGAUGCAGCAACGCCGCGUGCGGGAUGACGGCCUUCUGGUUGUAAACCGCUUUCGCCUGUGACGAAGCGUGAGUGACGGUAAUGGGUAAAGAAGCACCGGCUAACUACGUG
rnacentral:rRNA from 1 species